GGGUAUUUUGCUCUGAAAGCCACAAGAUUACAAAUACUACAUUCUUUGGGUUCACACAAAUGCACUGGGCACCAACAUGACAUAAUAUUCCACAGCAGCCUAGCAGUUAUCGAUGAAGCCAGAGUGAAAACAAAUAAACACACAAAAGCACUCUCAUGCUCCUGGUUGAAAGGCUAAAGUCUCGUUCUGCUAAAGUACAGUCUAUGUAUCAACAGUAGCUGCUGAAACAUGGUGGAGCAAUAUGGGUCUCAUGCUCCUGGGGAGCAGGAGGGAAGAGGGAAAUCUGAAGCCCCAGACAAGAUAGCAGACGACAGCCAAGGGAAACGGGGAGUAGUUCCAGGGCUACAAAGAAAGAUAUUGCUCUCAAUGGUGCCCAGAGACAUCUCACAUCUUCCAGCACAUUAAAGAACCACCCAAACCAUUCUCCAUGGGCUCUCCAGGUCAUUCCAAGAUUUUACUGCAUUGCUGCAGAACACCGCCACCUUUCUUGCCAGCUGGGGCUCCAUUACAAUGAAUCAGCAGCAAUGUUGGCAGCUGGGGUCGCUAAAUGUGAACGCUGGGGAUGGUGCUUACGUGGCAGAGGUGGAGAUGGAAUGAUUUGGAGAGGGUAACUAAUAAUAUACAACAUCUGAUGCAGAAGUGUUGCCAAUGAUUAAUUCUUAUAUUUUCCUCGUGUCUCAGGACAAGACAGUAAUACAUUGUGGUGAUGGAAUUGGUUGCACUGCAUUGAAUUUUAAAGAAAAAUAGAAAGGGAAGUAUUCAGUUUCAUUAGACCAGGUUCAAAUUUCUCCCUGACUUCUAUUUCAGCCUUCUGCUUCAGGGUCUAACUGGCCUGCCUGCGGCACCAUAUGCUUGCAUUUGACAUUGGUUUUACUAAUACCUUUGGAAAUAUAGAGCUAGAAGGAUUAUAUUGUAAAUCCUGAGAAGUAGAGUGUUACCGUGGGAAGGGCAAUGGAUUUGGAGUUCUGCUACUUAGGACCUGUGUGACCUUGAGUAAGUACUUAACCUCUUUGGGCCUCAACUUCCCCAUUUAUAAAAUGAAGGGGUUAGACUACAUGGCCUGAAAAGUCCCAUCCAGCUCUGAAUUUAUAAUUCUGUGACCUUCUCAUAUAUGUCUGUAAGGAACAGAGCUGGGAUUUGAACCCAGGCUGUUUAACUCCAAAGACUCAGCAUUUGUUUGAUUUCCCAACACUAUUUUCAAGGUGAAAAAGCUUUUUCAGUCAAAGUUAAGUGACAAAAGGUAACUUAGUCACCAAUAACUAUCUUGAAGCGGGC
rnacentral:lncRNA from 1 species